UAAAGGAGAGAGAGCUACAUGCCCAAGGGUUUUCUUUUGCCAUUUUCGGACCUCUUAUGUUCUCACCUUCUUCAUUCUCUUUCACACAUGCACUCAAAUGAUUUCUCACUUUCUUACACUUUCCUUCCAACCAAACAAAGGAAAACUACCUUCAAGAAGAGAUUUCGGCUUAGCAAAGGAGAAGCACACUUUCUAUUUGUCUCGUUACAUGGAUUUUUAAGUAGUUAUAGGUAUGCUCAACAAUCCUGAAGCAUGACUCUAGACGGUACUGUGAUAGAAGACGAGUACACCAUUUAGGGAUGUAUACGCUAUGCAGCUACUGCGUUGGAUUGCACUAUUCCAUUUCUCCAAGAAUUAUUGAAGGGUCUCCACAACCCUAAUUUUGAUGUUUUGAUUUUGGAUCCCUUAUGGGUAUUGAAGUUUUCAUGAAAUUUGGACCAAGUAACGCAACUUCUCAAGGAAAUUAGUGAAACCUACGUGGAUGGAAUGAGGCUCAUUAUGGAAAUAGGACUCCCAUAGCCAGAAAUGCAGAAGUCGAUAAGAGCUUGCUUAAUUAUGUUUCUUGAUGGACCCUUAAUAGUGGGGAGACUGAAUAAUGAGAACUUAGGAAGUUUUAAGUGGCCUGCUCAUUUCUUGAAAAAGGAAUAUUUUCAUCUCGUGUUUUUGAAAACUCUCUUUGUUUAUGGAUGUCAUUGAUGAGACAAAGU